CAAUCCUGCUGCUUAUCUUUCUUUCCAGAAGGUACAGAUUAGCUGGGUAUGGCAGAAGAACAGAGGUCUUCCAAAGAUGUCCAAUUGUACAGAUCCAGGAGAAGUUGGGCUGAGGUGAUGUAUACAGCUGCUUCACCACAGGGUCACUGGACAGCUGCAGACACAAGAAAAGUAUGUAUAUGCAGCCACUGAAAAGCAGCUGAGUCCCAGAGGCAGCCCCUGCAUCUCCCCUGCAAUGCCACCAGAUGCCACCAGGAGGAUUACAGCCCCCAUGACCCAAAAGACAACAACCUAGAAGGAUUUUGGUAAGCAUCCAAUGGCAAGGUGGACUCCAUGGUAUUGUUUUC
rnacentral:lncRNA from 1 species